UCACCACCCACCUCCGCCGAUAUUGCCCAAUCCCUGAGCGCGCUCUGUGACCUCUCACCCUAGCAACCACCGAGUUUUUCUCAGAGCCUCUCGCCUCACCCCACAAGCUCGGCCAUAGCAACCAUGACCCGCCCCGCUCUAUCCCUAGCUCGCAAUCAUUGGCUGACUCGCCUGAUGUGGGUCAGAUAUUGGUCAACUGGGACGACUGUCAGGAAGAGUCCCCACCCUCUUGCGUAGGUUGAUCCACAGUUAUUCAUCUGGCUGCUCAGGCUGACAGGAGUUCGUGGCUGUGUCUGUCCCAGAGGCUACGUGACGCCCUUCCUGGGAGCACAUACCCAGCGUCCUCUGGGGAGUAGCGGAGCCAACUUCAGGACUGAUCGAUCAUGACUUCUAUAAAGGAGCAGGCAGCAAUUAGCCGGCUCUUGAGUUUUUUACAGGAUUGGGACAAUGCUGGAAAAGUCUCAAGGAGACAUAUCCUCAACAAUUUCAUUGAAAUCAACCAAGGCAAGACUGGCCCUGAACUGGAGCAGGAGUUUUCCCAGGGUGCCAGCUUGUUCCUGGUGCGCUUGACCACCUGGCUCAGACUCACCUACAUGACUGGCUCGUGCCUAGAGAAGCUUUUAAAGUCCAUUGGCAUCUUCUUAUCAGCUGUAAGCAGUAAUCGGUACCUCAUAGAGUUCCUUGAGGUUGGAGGCGUCCUAACACUCUUAGAAAUACUUGCACUGGAGAAGAUCAGUGAGGGAGACAAGAAGGAAUCCAUCAAGCUACUUCAGGUUAUUGCAAACUCUGGCAGGAAGUACAAGGAGCUCAUUUGUGAAAGCUAUGGUGUACGGUCCAUAGCAGAAUUUUUGGCAAAGUGUAAGUCAGAAGAGACCCAGGAGGAAGUGCAAGUUCUGUUGGAUUCUUUGCUCCACGGCAACCCCAAGUACCAGAAUCAAGUGUACAAAGGUCUAAUAGCUUUGCUGCCCUGCACGUCCCCGAAAGCUCAGCAGCUAUCCUUGCAGACCCUCAGGACUGCCCAGCCGAUCAUCGGGAGCACACACCCCAGCAUCGUGGACUGCGUGCUGAAUGUGCUGCGCACGGUGCACCUGGAAGUCCAGUGUGAAGCCAUCAAGCUGAUCAAGGACCUGGUCAACUACGACGUGUGUGUCCCGCUGCUCAAGGGCCUCGUGGACCUGCUGAUACCAUCCUUCAAGGAGACUUGCAAACUGCAGCCCAAGAUCCUCAAUGACCCUACGGUCCUCCAGCUCACCGCCCACCUGCCAGUGUUUCUGCAGCAGGCCGCAGCUGCCAAGGCCAUCAGGGUCCUGGCGCACAGCAACUUGAGCUUAGCAGAGGAGAUGCUACACCUGCAUGUGGUGCCCAGCCUGAUGGCCGCCAUGGGCAACACGGACCACAGCAACAGCCAGCGACAGGCCAGCCUCACGCUGGAGGUGCGCAGGUGGCGGCCGGUGGGGCGGUGGGAACCGGGCGUGGGCACCCAGUCACUCCACCGGCCUGUCGCAGUUCUUCGUGCAGACGUUCCCAGUGGUGGAGGAGCAGGUGCGCAGGUCCAUGGGAGAGGAGCUCUACAAGCUCUUCCUUAGCAACGCAGAGGACUUGUACAUGAAAAUGGAUAGCGUUCAGGUGGACAUCUUGGCAGCCAACAAAGUCAAUGUUAGCAAAACGGGCCCCUUGUACGGCAGUAGGCACUUCGACUAUGGCCUUGGUGAUCAGGAGCAGCUGGACGACAUCACUCACUCCCAGGAGGAUAAGGAAGGAAAGGAGUGACGCAGCCUCUGUGGCAAGCCGGGAAGGCCAAAGCCGUGUGGCAGAAAGUCCAGCGGAGGACCCUGAGGUCCAUCUCAGGGCGCCUCCACUAGGCCCUCGGUGGGAGGCUGUGGGUCAGGCACCCCAGUCGGGGGGAG